GACUUUUAAGAGGAGAAUGUCAGCAGUCUUGGAGGCAAUUCAGUUUGUCCAUCGUGGAUGGAAACAGAUGCUUAUGCCUAAUAAGCUUAUGCUUAGUAGCCGUAUGGAAAGGCUAAUAAACUCACCAUCAUUUGGCAUCAGACUACAAAAAGAGAGUAAAGGGUUUUGAAACUGCACACACCUAUUCUGUAGCCCACAAAACUUCCCCUCCAUGGCUUAAACUGGCUGAAAAAUACCUCAGUAUGUGUUUCAAAUGCAUUUUCCAGCUUCUCCAGGAAAAAAAAAAAUUAAUGUGCAGGUUGCCUGGGAAGAGGUGGCUACAGGAGCAGAGUCUUAUUCUUCUGCCACCUUCUGUUUUCUCUAAAACCAUCUGCAGAUGCAGAUGCUCCUCUGUGGGGCAAGGCUGCCAUCACCCAUCCCGGGCUUUGCUGAGGGCAUAGUAUGUGCUGCUUCUUGUGAAUUACACCAGUGCACUCGCAAUGUGGAGAGGGUCCUUGAAUUUAUAGUAUCUGUUCAGGCUUCUGGAUAAGCAGAGAAGGUGAAGAUCAUCAUAUCUACCAGCUGGGAAAAGAGCAUUGGGAAGGUUUCCCAAGCUGUGUUCUGCCACACAAUGAAUGAUUUUUUUUAAUUUCAGAAACAUAACUAGCAAAAUUUGGUUUGAGGAAGAGAGAGAAGUUCAGUCAGACAUUGUUUUGCAAGAUCAACAAUUUCAUAUAUAUCCAAAUGGAACUGCUUCCAUUAAGAAGAUCCCCAAAUAUACUGAUUUCCACAGUAGGCAAGGAAAUCCUAAUAGUGAAUGCAAUGACAUCAAAGACAGCCUAUUACUUGUGUUUAUAAUUAAUGUGAUCUUGGUGAAGCAGUGAUGAGUGGAUAUUUACUGCCUCUUAUUCCAAACAACAGUGGUACCUAGGUUUUUGAUCCCACAUCCAUAACACAUUGGAAGGGAGGGAAAAUUGCAAAAUAGUGGCUAGUAUAAAAUGCCUCCAUCCAAACAAGGCUGUGAACAUACGGUCUGAUGUUCAGAGGUGAAAAAGCACCAACAGUUUCCAUUUCAUCACUUUUAAAAUCAGAUCACUUGCUCAGAUACUGCUGUGAUUGAUAAUUCUAGUGUUUGCUUCACAAAUGUUCAGGCUCUCACCUCUGUGAAGAAUAUCCAGGACUAGGAAAGAAGGUUCGGCCUACACUGCAUCUGAAUGAAGUGGAGCUCACACUGUGGCACUGAUUAUUUCAGGUCUGUGGAAUUGAAGAGAGCUCUCUCUCGCCACACGCGGUAUCAGCUUUCACUCAAAACCCUCCCAAAUGGUAAAAACUUUUGACUUGAUUGCAGCCGCUAGAACAGGAUUAAAUGGAUAACCGGGGUAUGAACUGAGAUCCCUUUGACUCUGAAGAGACCCUCGAGCAAUGAUUCAAAACUACAUGAACUUUCAACUUCAGUUCACUCAGGGCCAUGGGGUCUUCAGUUGUAAGCUGUGUUUUUCCAAGCUUUUUUUUCUUUCUUUCCUUCUUUUUCUUUUGCUACAAGGUUCAUUAUUUUGCAGAGGAUGGGUCUUUCUGCCCUGCAGGGAUCUAUCUAUCACUGCUGACUCUCUGCAUCUUCUCCACAUGGAAGAAGUAAUUGGAUUGUAUUUUCUGCACACGACCAAGACAGCAGGGAAACCCAGAGCUGUAAGCCAGAGAACCAAGCUGCAUAGAGGGCAAGGAAGUACCUGAUGCUCAAGAAAUCUGAAUGCCUGGGUCUAACUACAAAAUCUUUCCUUUCUUUGCAUGAAGGAGCUGAGCCAUGCUGAACUAUAUUCACCAGACUGCUCAGGAAAGUGAACUCUUCAAGGACCAGUGAAAAACGUAAACACCCAAAUAAUCCUUCAAAAAUGCAGCCCAGGGUCAUUAAAUCCUGUGACUAUACAAAACAAUAAGUAUGCUGUGGGAUGCUAACCAUACAGGAGAUUUCUUAAAGUUACAGUGCAAUUACUGCAAAAUCCAGUGGCUUUUUUACACUGCCAGGGCCUCCAUGUGCUACCACAUGGCUGAUGUAUAUGGUUAUUCAGGAGCAACAGCAACACCUCAGCGAAGACAAAAAGGCAAAAAAAAGCGCCCUUAUUUAAUUAUUUUUCCAGCUAGCAUUUUAUUUGUUAUUAUAAUGCUCCAAAAUGCUAUUUUGUACUCUUAAACACUGUGCUGUUUUUUUUCUAACACCACCAAAAUCCUGACAUUAUUAUAUUUGUGGAAAGCGAUGGGAUUGCCAAGGCUUUAUGCUGUUAGUCUUUAAGAGUUUAGUAGAUGUAUUACUUUCCUUCAAAUGAAUGCCUGCUUGUCAUUGUCAGUCGUCUGCUGUUUGUCCCUCCCCCCACCUCCUUAGAUCCAAGCCUAAAAAAAGAAUCUCUUUGGAGCUUGAUGUGUUGCUUGUAGCAAUGUUAGAGAAACUGUACUAUUCUGGGAACACUCAGGCUCCUCCAAACAGCUCUUCCAGCAGUAACACCAUGGUUUUCAUCUCUGCCUUAGUCUCCUAUUAAGCCCCACCAGCCAAAUUCCAGGUGCCACAGGGAAGGAACUGCACUACACCAGAAUGUCACCCCCAAACUUGACUCAUCAUCAUCAUCAUCAUCAUCAUCAGGUUUCCCAUGCAGGCUGAUUUGUGCAUUUCUCUUCAAGAAAUAUUUUAUCAACCUUGACUGGAAUAAAAGCACUGACACGGAGAGAAGACAGUCUGCUAUUAUUUUCCACUUAUAAAGAACACAAAUCUGCAUGAUGAGCCAAAUGCUCCUAUUGCAAAGAUUAUUUGUCACAUGAAAUAGAUAAAACAGCAGAAAGAACCCAUUCCUGGAAUUUAUGAGGAAAAAAUUUUUCUUUAGAGCAGAAAAACACCACCAUUGUCCCACUCAGCAUAUUAACACUCACAGUAGUGAUGGCAGUUGAAAAAAUGUGGGGGAGGAUAUGAUUAAAUAAGUAUUUCUUAAAUAGUUUUGGAGUGUGCAAGCUGAUAUUUUGGAACAAUAACAGAGAACGUACAAUGUUCUGAGCUGUCAGAGUUUCUGAGGGGGCAGAUUCAAAGGUCUUGCGUCACUGAAUGCCUCGCAAUCUCCAGAUUAAUGGAAGGGGAGCAAUGGGACAGGGUGUUGUACUUGCAAGCUGGAUGAGUUAUGAUUUGUUUUCUUUUUUUGUUUUUUGAAGAACAUAAAUAAUUUAAAUGCUGCUGUCAUGCAAAACUAAAAUUACACAGUACCAUACACAGAUUUCUUACGAAUAAUAUGAGCUGGUGCAUGUAUACAUGCAGGUAUUUGUGUUGUAAUUUAAAACAUAAUAUCACCUCAAGCUAAAUAAGUUUAGAAAACUUCUCUGAGAGAAAUUCUUUACCUCAGGAAGAGGAUCUAUGUUCAUGAAAAUCAAUGUGGCAGACAGAAAUAGCAUUUAAACCUUUACUAGCAAGAUAUGACACAUCAAAGGAGUUAAAUUGAUCUUCCAGCCUUCUGUCCCAAAUAUUGCUGCAGCAAGAUGAGCCUCCUUUUCUUUGUGCUGACAGCUACACAAUGUUCCUGUUCCUCUCAGCGUAGAUUGCAUGCUGUCUUUGCCACCACCCUCUCUCCAUCGCCAGACAUCUGAGCCACAGUUGAAGAUUUGGGUAAAAGGAGCAGUUUUGCAUGGACAGUGAAGCUGUGAAACCAGUGAAACCCAAGAAAUGUGGACCCUAAGCUUGUGAGCAGCCACAGACACUGGGAUUUCGGCUGGGCCUGGGCCUCACCAGCAUGCCUAAUGAUGUCAUCAGGACGAAGGACGUGGGGAGAAUGAGCUGUCCCACACCCAGAAGUGAAACCAUGCCAGUACAAAGAUCAAAACCAAAAGUGACUGCACCUCAGACAAAGAAGGAGAGGGGAAGUUGUUGAGGUCUCCACACAGAUGUCUGAUUACAGUUCCACCAAGGUGUAUUUGGAACUGUGUCACAGCUCUGCUUCUUCUCCCCAGUGCCUGUGGAGGCAGCUUCCAGCAUGACACAUCCCAUCUUUGACUCAUCAGAAGACAUGCUUCAAUUCAGCUAGAAAACAAGAACUUAAGGAAAGCUUGAAAAUCUGUGGCAAGCCUAUAAGGACUGAUGUAUGACAUGACUGUAAAGUUUAAUUCUAGACUGAAAAUCAAUGAUUAGACAAAGAUUCAUAUUUCUGGGAAAACAAAGACAUAAAUCUACAGCCAUUUUGAUGAACGAUGUGCAGAUUUCUCCUGGGGAACACGCAAAGAAGGCCCACACCUACGGAAAGGCUGUCCCAAGAUUAUGUCACCUACAUGUAUCAUGAAGGAAUUUUCUUCUUGGCUGCUCAGAGGAGGAUUUUUAACAUUUGCCUCCCAUUUACUCCACAACAUUUCAUUGCUGAGUAACUUGUACUACUUCACACCAUUUUAAUUUGAUGGCAUGUACGAGUAAUGCAGAGACCUUUCUUUCCUCAGGGAAAUUAAGAAAAUAAUUCAUUCUUUCACCCAGUAACUCAACUGAAUUCAAUUUGGGUUCAUUCUUUCAGGAAAGGUGUUUACCUAGUUUUGUCAAAUUAAAAUAUGGGAGGAAAAAUGUCAAUAAUACUGACCAUUUUGUCAUCACAAUUGUUAGUUCUUUCAUGCCAUGCUUCCUCCAAGAGAAUUUUAUUUUGCAGAGGGAAAAACUAACUUAAAGUCUUAGAAGGCUUAAGUCGCAUCUGUAAUUUCUGCAUAUUACUAAAUACUACCAUACACUAUGUACAUGGAACAAAACUUCAGCAAACCAGUUUUCACACUGAUUUGGGGUAAGAUUUUAAUUCUAAUUUUUUUUCUUACAUUUACUUCAAUGUAUAUUUGCCAGAUGAAUUGUAUGCACAGAAAAAGGUGUAAUAAAAGGGCAGGAGUAUCAGCUGCAUUAUGUGGCCCAAAGAGACAGAGCAAAAACAUUAUUUGGAAAUUUGUGUGUCACAGGGCCCUGCGGGCAGCUGCUGAUCUUAUUCCUGUCCCUUCCAUGGGGUUGUUAACACAAGGACACAUGAGGGAAUGGCUGAGGACUGGGGAGGCCGUGACCAAAGUGAAUAUUGAUUCUCUUUUUCCUUGGUGUGGCUGCUUGUGUAGAGCACAUCGAUCAGUAGUGCAGCCUGAGAGAAGGCUGAAUGAAUUAAUGGAAGAGAGAACCCUCUCAGAGCUACUGAGUACACAGAAAAUCAGCCUGGCUUGGGGUGUGCCUGGGCUGCAAGUACUUUGCAGGGGAGAGGAGAGGCUGCUUACGAUUCUCCGGUCUCACGCUCCUCGUUCCAACAUCAGCUUUUGGGCGUUAGCAUUAGCUGGUUUAUUUCAUUAUGCUUUUAUUUACUGUUGGCAGGAGAGGAGGACUGGAAGCUGCCCAGAGUGCUGGCUGCAGCCACUGAGAGACCUCUCUUUCCCCAGGGCUGGCUGCAGCACAGAAUUGAUGGGUGCUGAGUAAGUGUGUUUCAUAUCCAGGGCAAAUUUUCCAGAGUGCCUAAAUGGCUUGAAACUGCAGGUUCUGUUGGCCAUGAUCAAGUAACUUGCUUGGGAAACUGCUUCCAGUUAGCUUUGUCUCUUUUUGUCUCUCUCCCUGCAUUUGUGCAUUUUCAAUUAUGCAGAAAUAUAUCAUUUAGCUCCACCUCCCUUUAUGUAAGCAGGCAAGGAACAGCGAGCUUCAAAACUGCAGAAUACCUUGAAAUCUUUUAACUUCAACCAUUCCGUCUCUGAUGGAAAAACAUGUAUUACCUUUUUAAUUCUCAGUCACUCUAACUGGU